CGUGUAAUAUUAUGUGCAACAUAAUUUGAAUAGUUCAUUAUUUGAUUAUUAAUAAAGAGAAACAAAGAUAUUGUUGUUUUAAAUGUUAAAAUGGAAACGUCAAUCAUUGCAGCCAAUGUAAUGAAUAUUGCCAAUUGUGUUUUAGAAUUGGUGUCAAAUUCUUUACACGUCAAUGCUACAUCAAUUGCAAUACGAUUUCACAGUGAAGAACGUAAAAUUCAAGUAAUAGAUAAUGGUAUAGGAAUAUCGAAAAUAGAAUUAAAAACAAUUGCAGAAUAUAAUAACAAAAAUUAUUGCAAUUAUCCAAUUAGACAUGGUAUUCAUAACUGGAGAAAGCAGACACUUAUUAACAUUCGUAGAUUGUCUAAUGCAAUGAUAAUAACUUCUAGAUAUUAUAAUUCAUCUAAAACAUAUAUGAAAAUUUUUAAAAUAUAUCACGAAUCAAACAUUGAAAGAACUGAAAGAAGACCUUCUCAGGGUACCACAAUAACUAUUUACGGAUUUCAUGAAUUAUCCUUAAGCAAAUGGAAUAUAGCUUAUAUGUAUUAUUUAAUUGAAAACAUUGCUAUAGCCAAUCCUCAAACUUCAUUCACUAUUAGAGAUGAUAAAAUUAAAAAAGUUACCAUGAUAAUUACUAAGCCACAUAAUCCAAUAAACAUUUUUAAAUCGUUAUAUAAUAAAAAAAUCAUUUUUUAUAAAUUAUGGUUUAUAAGAUCUAAACAAAAAUCUGAUAUCAAAUUCUGUGCAUAUAUUGGAAUAUCAAAUUCUAAUUCUGUUCCUCAACAUAUUUUUAUAAAUAAUAAACUUGUUCAUUGCCCUUUAAUUUUGCAAAUAAUUUCCACUAUUUUUAUCAAUACAUUAAAAUUCUUCAAAAAGGAAAUAGCAGAGAAAGAGGAAAUUUUUAUUCUAUUAUUCAUUAUAUGUACUGAAUAUAUUUUUAUUAUAGAGAAUGGAAAAAGAACUUUAAUGCUUUCCAAUAUAUAUAAUUUAUUACAAAGUAUUAAAAACAAGAUAAUAAAUAUUUUUAUAAAAGAUAUUAAACCUUUAUCUAUUAACGAUUCAAAAUGUAGCAAUAGAGUUAAUAAACAAAAAUCUAAAAACAAUGAAAUACAGCUAAUUACAGAUCAUUUAAUGCAAUUACAUACAUCUGCUUUGCAAAAUAUCAAUAUUAAUACAAAAAGCAUUCAAUUAACACUUUCUGAGUGGUCUAAUUGGUCUAAUUCUAAAAAUUUGAAACAAUGUGAAAAUAAUUCUUUAAGAUUUUAUAAGCAUUUUGAUUUUUUACCAAAAAAAUUACAUAAACUAUUGCGUGGAGAUACAAAAUUAAUACAAACUAAUAUUUUAAAUGCAUAUGAUGAAAAUUUAUACUCAAUUAAAGUAAAAUCUGAAUUGCAAAGUAAGUUAUUCUUUUAAAUUAUUUUUUCAAUUAUAAUAAAUUAAAUUAAAUCUAAUUUAUAAUAUUUAAUUUAUGUUCUAAGUUCCAGAUAUAUUACCUCAUCAAGAAAUUGAUGUGCGUCUAUGUAAAAAUGACCAAUUUCGUGAAUUUAAAAUAAAUAAAAAACUGUUAAAACUUAUUAAAAUAUUAGGACAGAUGAACAAUGAAUUAAUAAUAGGAUUAAUAAUUCAAAAUAAUAUAAAGAUGCUUUUAUUAAUGGAUCAACAUGCAAUUCAUGAAAGAAUAAGAUAUGAACAGUUACUUCAUGGUAAAAAUUUAUAAUAUAAUUUUACUAUUGUUUAUUUAUGAUAUAAUUUUUAAUAUUUAUAAUAUAAUAUAAUUUCAUAUAAAAGAAAAUAUUAGUAUAAUAUUAAAAUAUAUUAAUUAUAAAAUAUUAAUUUUUAGAAUACAAAUCACAAAUAAGAAACCAAUUAUUUUCUAUCAAAUUAAAAAAUCCUAUAGUUAUACAGCUAUCUGCAAAGAAUUGCAAUUUACUUUUAUCUAAUCAUAAAAUAUUAAAAAGAUUUGGUAUAACUUUUAACAUAUUAGAUAACAAUAAUAUAAUAAUACGAACAGUACCAGAAUGUUUAAAAAAAAGCAAUUAUAGCGAAUUGAAAUUAAAGUUAAAUAUACAAAAUCUUUUAAACGAAUUAAUACAAAAUUCUACAAAAUAUAUAAACUAUCAAAUUAAUGAUUUACCAAUUACUAUACAUAAUGCAGUUGUAAUGAAAGCUUGCCAUGGUAUGCUCUUUUUUUCUUUUAUAUUUAUAUAUAUUUUUAAUUUCAUAAACAAUUUAACAAACAUCAUAUAUAAAAUAUAAAUAGAAAAGUUAAUAGAAUAUAUAUAUAUUUUUUAUUCAUACAUAUUAUUUAAUGUUAACAAAUAUAUUAUCACUAUCUGAGUAUUUUAGGAGCUAUAAAGUUUGGACAUUCACUAACAUUAAAAGAAUGUAAAUGGCUUUUGAAAUUAUUAAAUGAAACGAAAACUCCUACUCAAUGUGCUCACGGACGACCAUCCAUAGUGCCUCUAUUAGAAUUAACGAAUUUAGAAACACGACAGA
rnacentral:misc_RNA from 1 species